UACGUAGGGGGCUAGCGUUGUCCGGAAUCAUUGGGCGUAAAGAGCGUGUAGGCGGCCCUGUAAGUCCGCUGUGAAAGUCAAAGGCUCAACCUUUGAAAGCCGGUGGAUACUGCAGGGCUAGAGUCCGGAAGAGGCGAGUGGAAUUCCUGGUGUAGCGGUGGAAUGCGCAGAUAUCAGGAGGAACACCAAUAGCGAAGGCAGCUCGCUGGGACGGUACUGACGCUAAGGCGCGAAAGCGUGGGGAGCGAACAGG
rnacentral:rRNA from 1 species